UGUGUAGGCGGUUGCUUAAGUUUGGUGUGAAAUCUCCCGGCUCAACCGGGAGGGUGCGCCGAAUACUGAGUGACUCGAGUGCGGGAGAGGAGAGUGGAAUUCCUGGUGUAGCGGUGAAAUGCGUAGAUAUCAGGAGGAACACCGGUGGUGUAGACGGCUCUCUGGACCGUAACUGACGCUGAGACACGAAAGCGUGGGUAGCAAACAGGAUUAGAUACCCUGGUAGUCCACGCCCUAAACGAUGCAUAUUUGGUGUGGGCCGUUCAGCCGGUCCGUGCCGGAGCUAACGCGUUAAAUAUGCCGCCUGGGGAGUACAGUCGCAAGGCUGAA
rnacentral:rRNA from 1 species